UGCCUACGGGGGGCAGCAGUGAGGAAUAUUGGUCAAUGGGCGCAAGCCUGAACCAGCCAAGUCGCGUGAGGGAUGACGGUCCUAUGGAUUGUAAACCUCUUUUGUCGGGGAGCAAGGCCCGCCACGUGUGGCGGGAAGGAGAGUACCCGAAGAAAAAGCAUCGGCUAACUCCGUGCCAGCAGCCGCGGUAAUACGGGGGAUGCGAGCGUUAUCCGGAUUUAUUGGGUUUAAAGGGGGCGUAGGCGGGGGGGUAAGUCAGCGGUCAAAUGUCGGGGCGCAACACCGGCCUGCGG
rnacentral:rRNA from 1 species